rnacentral:rRNA from 1 species
AUAGUCCUACGGGAGGCAGCAGUAGGGAAUCUUCCACAAUGGGCGCAAGCCUGAUGGAGCAACACCGCGUGAGUGAAGAAGGGUUUCGGCUCGUAAAGCUCUGUUGUUGGAGAAGAACGUGCGUGAGAGUGACUGUUCACGCAGUGACGGUAUCCAACCCGAAAGUCACGGCUAACUACGUGCCAGCAGCCGCGGUAAUACGUAGGUGGCAAGCGUUAUCCGGAUUUAUUGGG